rnacentral:rRNA from 1 species
ACUCAAAUGAAUUGACGGGGGCCCGCACAAGCGGUGGAGUAUGUGGCUUAAUUCGAUGCAACGCGAAGAACCUUACCUGGGCUUGACAUGCAUCUCUAACCCGGUGAAAACCGGCGAGCCCCGCAAGGGGCAAUUUGCACAGGUGCUGCAUGGCUGUCGUCAGCUCGUGUCGUGAGAUGUUGGGUUAAGUCCCGCAACGAGCGCAACCCUUAUGAUCUGUUGCUAACGGUCCGCAAGGAUCGUGCACUCUGAUCAGACCGCCCUGUGAAACGGGGAGGAAGGUGGGGAUGACGUCAAGUCAGCAUGGCCCUUACGUCCAGGGCUGCACACGUACUACAAUGCCCAGCACAGAACGAGCCGAAACCGCAAGGUGGGGGAAAUCCCAAAAGCUGGGCUCAAUUCGGAUCGCAGGCUGCAACUCGCCUGCGUGAAGCCGGAAUCGCUAGUAAUGGCGCAUCAGCUACGGCGCCGUGAAUACGUUCCCGGGCCUUGUACACACCGCCCGU